rnacentral:rRNA from 1 species
UACGAAGGGGGCUAGCGUUGCUCGGAAUCACUGGGCGUAAAGGGUGCGUAGGCGGGUCUUUAAGUCAGGGGUGAAAUCCUGGAGCUCAACUCCAGAACUGCCUUUGAUACUGAAGAUCUUGAGUCCGGGAGAGGUGAGUGGAACUGCGAGUGUAGAGGUGAAAUUCGUAGAUAUUCGCAAGAACACCAGUGGCGAAGGCGGCUCACUGGCCCGGUACUGACGCUGAGGAGCGAAAGUGUGGGGAGCGAACAGG